UGAUGCAGCAACGCCGCGUGAGGGACGAAGGCCUUCGGGUUGUAAACCUCUUUUCUGAGAGACGAGACAAGGACGGUACCUCAGGAAUAAGUCUCGGCUAACUACGUGCCAGCAGCCGCGGUAAGACGUAGGAGGCGAGCGUUAUCCGGAUUUACUGGGCGUAAAGCGCACGCAGGCGGCUUCGUUAGUCGGAUGUGAAAGCUCCUGGCUUAACUGGGAGAGGCCAUUCGAUACUGCGAGGCUUGAGGUUGGGAGAGGGGUGUGGAAUUCCCGGUGUAGUGGUGGAAUGCGUAGAUAUCGGGAGGAACACCUGUGGCGAAAGCGGCACCCUGGCCCACACCUGACGCUGAGGUGCGAAAGCGUGGGUAGCAAACAGGAUUAGAUACCCUGGUAGUCCACGCUGUAAACGAUGUCAACUGGGUGUCGGUGGUUUUACACUAUCGGUGCCGAAGCAAACGCGUUAAGUUGACCG
rnacentral:rRNA from 1 species